rnacentral:rRNA from 1 species
UGCUUAACACAUGCAAGUCGAACGGCAGCAUUGUCUAGCUUGCUAGGCAGAUGGCGAGUGGCGAACGGGUGAGUAACGCGUAGGAAUAUGCCUUGAAGAGGGGGACAACUUGGGGAAACUCAAGCUAAUACCGCAUAAUGUCUGAGGACGAAAGCUGGGGACCUUCGGGCCUGGCGCUUUAAGAUUAGCCUGCGUCCGAUUAGCUAGUUGGUGGGGUAAGGGCCUACCAAGGCGACGAUCGGUAGCUGGUCUGAGAGGAUGACCAGCCACACUGGAACUGAGACACGGUCCAGACUCCUACGGGAGGCAGCAGUGGGGAAUAUUGGACAAUGGGGGCAACCCUGAUCCAGCAAUGCCGCGUGUGUGAAGAAGGCCUGAGGGUUGUAAAGCACUUUCAGUGGGGAGGAGGGUUGAUAGGUUAAGAGCUAAUUAACUGGACGUUACCCACAGAAGAAGCACCGGCUAACUCCGUGCCAGCAGCCGCGGUAAUACGGAGGGUGCGAGCGUUAAUCGGAAUUACUGGG